rnacentral:rRNA from 1 species
UACGUAGGGGGCAAGCGUUGUCCGGAAUCAUUGGGCGUAAAGCGCGCGUAGGCGGCCAGAUUAGUCCGGUGUGAAAGUCAGAGGCUCAACCUUUGAAUGCCGCUGGAAACUGUCUGGCUUGAGUCCGGAAGGGGCGAGUGGAAUUCCUGGUGUAGCGGUGAAAUGCGCAGAUAUCAGGAGGAACACCAAUGGCGAAGGCAGCUCGCUGGAACGGUACUGACGCUGAGGCACGAAAGCGUGGGGAGCAAACAGG